rnacentral:lncRNA from 1 species
CCUAGACCAUAAUUUUCCUAUCCAAACCCACAUAACUCAAGCUCAUUAUCUAGUCUAUAAUAUGUAGGCUCAUACCCCUAACAUAAUACAUAUCCUAUAUAAUACUAUCUACACUUAAAUGAUCAUCCGUCGUUUUCCCAGAGAAGAGGACCCAUCCCCUCACUGGUUAUCUUCUUCACUCAAUCUCCACCAAGCAGCUUCACACCUUCAUCUCCACCCCACAUACGCUAUCAAACCAGCCUCAUUUUUCCAUUCGAAAAGGGCUGCUGAAACAGCUUCUCGAACCCAGCAGAAAACCAUCCAAAAUUAGCUCUGAACCAUCCUAAAAAGUAGUCCGUUUUCAGCAAUGGAAAGCUGAAACUUCAUCUAUGAAAAAGCAGCCACUAAAAUCGCUGGAACACCCAUUAAAAAGCAGCCGCUGUUUUAAGCUUCGAAUUUUUUCGGUAGGCUUCGAUCUCACCGUUGCGGAGCCCGUUCACGAUUCGGUUCGUGUUUUUGUUCGAAGUUCGAUUGUCAUGUCGAGUAUCAGCCAUAGCGGUCUCUUUGUUUCAGUCCGUAGCUGAAUUUUUUUAUUUAAUUGAAAGCAACCUCAGGUUCUAUUCUUGCCUCUUUCCUUCUAUUCUAAUGUCAGUUCUAAUAUGGUUUGAGCUUAGACUAUAAUUUUGCUGGAUUUGUGAUGGGAAAUUGGUUUGAAGGAAUUUUUAUUUCUCUGUUGUUCGUGUCAAAAAGUUGUGUCAAGUCCAAAGCAUUUAACCGUGUAUAUAUAAGUUUCUUCUUAAAAUGCGUUUUUGCUUAUUUAAGAUCCCAAACAAAAUGACAACUUUAGUCCAAUAAAAAGAGCAUGUCCAAUAAGGUGCAUACCAUUUCCCUGUUUCCGAUACUAAUCUACUCGAAUAGCAUUAGGUAUGUGUGUGUAGUAUGUGUAUGUUACCUAAAGAUAAUAACUGGACCUAAUUUUUUUACUUUUUUAGUUUUUAUACCCUUGGGUAGAGAUUUUACUUUUUUAGUUUUUAUACCAUUAUGUAGAGAGGCUGUUUCCAAAUAGACCCCCGACAUCCUUCUCUCCAAGAACUUUCCACCUUGCUCUUGGGAUACUCGAACUCACAACCUCUCGGGUGGAAGUAGGAAUUGCUUACCAUAAGAGCAACUACUCUUGUCCUUGGUGGUGCUUUUUAAAUAAUUGGUAUAUUUGAUUGCCUUCAUAUCAUGGGCUUCAUGUUCUAGCAGAUAGAAAGGGACAUACAUUUAUUCUCUGGUCAUGGAGAGUGAAUUAUAUAUCUUGAAAGACCAAUUGUUAAUGAGUGAUGUACAGUUUAAAAUAGACUUGGUUGUAAUUCCAUAGCUCCUCUUCGUAAAUCUGAUCUUCGUCGUGUUCUCUGCUAACUGCCAAAUAGUUCUAACUUUUAUCAUGUUAAACAUGAGGUAUUUAAUGAACUUGUCUUGUUUCUUUGAAAAGAAUGUCUCACUCCAAGUGAGCCUCUGGCCCUUAUUUAAUUAAUAUUAAUCAUUUAGAAUUCAAGGCGUGCCAUUUAGUUUAAUUUUCAUGAAGCUCGCAAAGUUAAAAAUAUAUAAUUGUUUUAGGCGCGUAAUUUAAAGUUAUAUUUCUAAACUCGGGUGUAUAUUUAUGUGACCCAAUUUCAAUUCUCAACAAUAUUAGAUAAAAUGUAUCGAGGAUCGUGGGUGCAUUUAUGAGACGCGAUUCAAGAUAUAUUUUAGAUAACGUUGCAAUUUUCCUUUUUAAAGAAAAUAAUUAAAUAAAGUGGUAAAGUUUAUAAUUGCACCAUAGGCUAAAACAUGUAUAAAAAUCCAAUAAUAGGCGAAUUCUAAUAGUUUAAGCGACUGUGCUAGAACCACGGAAUCCGAGGGUGCCUAACACCUUUCCUCGGGUUAACAGAAUUCCUUAUUCAGAAUUUCUGGUUCGCAGACUUCAAAAGGAAAGUCGAAAUCUUCUUCGAUUUGGGAUUUAAAAAUAAAUCGGUGACUUGGGACACCAAAUAAACUAUCUCAAGUGGCGACUCUGAAAACAAAAAUAAAUAAAUAAUCUUAUUUCGAAUAAUAUCACUUUAAUUGGAAAAACUCUCUUAUACAUUUAUCCUUCGGGGUAGCCGUGUAAAAAAGGAGGUGUGGCAGCUCUGGCGACUCUGCUGGGGAUAGAACACAGAAUCUCUGGUUCAGGGUUUAAGAAUUCGAGCUUAGAAUAACGAUUCUGAUUGGCUUUAUCUGUUAUCUGAUUUUCCUACAUGUUUCAUGCCUAAUAUGCUAAAUGCUUUACCGCUUUGAUAUUGGAUGAAUUGUAUAUAUAUAAACAGUUACGAAACCCUUCUCUUCUCAUCUUCGAGGAUGUGUUCGCUGGUCGAGAUUCCCUAUUCUGUUAGUUCAUAACCUUGAAAUAAGAAAGAGACUCGGACAAAUUAUAAAGCCGGAUGGCCUUUUGGUUCCCGGUACGUAGCCCUCUCCUCGGCUCGAGUUAUUUGCUCGGGUGCACAAGUCUAGAACAGUAUACUCAGGUUUGAAACUAGAAUAACUCAGCAUCAUGCCGGAUCUUUAGUAAGAACGUUUAUUUGCAUCAUGUGCAUUUGAUCAUAGGGACUCAACAUAGGGGUUGAGUCCGUUAGGAUAGGUGUACCUAAAUGUAAAAGACCAUCUUAAUGCAUCUUGCGUGCUACUUGCAUACCUGUCUGUUCAGGCUUGCAUGUUGACCGGCUUCUAGAGUAGGGAAGAAAAUCAAAAAAGAAAAAGAAAAAAAGGAGAGGUAGAUAUUUAGAAAAUUCUGUAACUCUGCCGAAACUUUGAAAAAAGAAAAGUCAUUUAAAAAUAAGUCAUUUUUCCCGUUGUGUCGAAUCUGCCAGAACUACGCGAGUCUGAUUCUCACCGGAUGUGAGGUACGUAGUCAAGCCUCAUCGGUUCCGGCCCUCAAUUUUCGAAAAUUUCCAAAAAUAUUUUUAUUUUCUUCUUUUAAUAAAAAAUGGGGUCUUUCUUUAUGACCCAUAUUUGUUUUCAAAAAAAGAAACCCCUAAAACAAAAGUCCAAAAAUAUUUUCAUUUACUUCUUUAAAAAAAUUGUUUUUUUUAAGAACCCAAUUUUCAAAAAUCCAAAAAUUUUACUUCCUUGUUUAGAAAAGUUUUAGUUGCUUCUCAAGAAAAAAAAUACAAAUGUUUUCAUUCUUCUUUCGAAGAUUCAAAGGAAAAAUCCAGAUUCAAAAAUAUCUUCUCUUUUAUUUAGAAGUAUUUCUUUCAAAAUUCAAAAAAUUCAAAACUCCAAAAUAAUAUUUUUUUUCUUGUUUAGAAGUUUUUCUUUCAAAAUUUCGAAAAAAAUCUAAUAAUUCAAAAAAAUAUUUUUAUUCUUCUCUCAAAAAUUAAAAAGAAAAUUCAAGAUUCAAAUAUUUUCUUUUCCUUUAGAAGUACUUCUUUCCUAACUUCAGAAUAAAAACUCAUAACUACGAUAAGAAAAAUUUUCUUUCUUAUUUAAAAGUUUUUCUUUUGAAAAAAAAGCAAUAAAAGUCGAAAAAAAUAUUUCUUCUCUAGAAGUCUUUCUUUGAAAGAUGCUGAAGAAAAAUCAAAAUUCAAAAUUAUUCUCUUUCUUCUUUAUAAGUCUUUCUUUUGAAAAAAAGUGAAAAAAGGAGAAACUUCAAAAUCCAAAAAAAAAGUUAGUUUCUGUACUUUAUUCCUGAUCUUCCCGAACUACGCAAGAUCUAAUUCAUGCGGCAUCAUGAUACGUAGGCAACCCACAUCAGGUUCGAUCAACCAUGGAAUAGGAAAAAAUAGAAAAAUAAAAAUAGUGAAGAAAAGAAAACAUUGAUAAUAAUAAGGACUGACUGAGUCCAUUCUAACAUGUCUUUUGUUUUGAAUUGUGAAGAAAGUUUGAGGUGGUCGGUUUAUGGUAAGCAGACAGCACAAGAUUCAAGAGAAAAUGAUAACUGACAUCGAAGCGGUUACAAGUGCUCAAGAGACUCAGGGACGAAGAGUUCGACAAGAGUAUACUGUGGUUGAGAAAAAUAGAAUACUAAAACAGCAAAUGGCCAAAAUGUCAAGCAUGGGCCAAUAGCCAAGGAGAACCUUGUCAUGAGUCCCAAUUUGUUACACAACAAGAGCAAUCUCACUCUCCUAAAUACCACUCAUACUUAUUUGAUCUUCUUACAAAGAUUGAGAAGCCCGCCCAAACGAUGGUACCAGAAGAAAUGACCCAAAGAGUAAAAAGCUUAAAACAACGGUUGAAAAACAUGCAAGGGUUGGGGGUCAAAAGAGUGUUGCCUUCAAAGAUCUAUGUAUGUUCCCCGAUGUCCAUUUGCCGCGUGGUUUCAAGACUCCCAAAUUUGAAAAGUAUAAUGGACAUGGAGACCUCAUAGCCCACUUGAAAAGGUAUUGCAAUCAACUGAGAGAUGUGGGAAGAAAUGAAGAAUUGGUAAUAGCUUAUUUUGGGGAAAGCCUCACGGGAGUAGCAUCUGCAUGGUUUUUGAAUCAGGACACUUCUUGCUGGUACGUCUGGGAUGACAUGGCACAUGCCUUUGUCAAAAAUUUCCAAUAUAACAUUGACAUUUUCCCAGACCGCAAUUCCCUUUCAAACUUGAAGAAGAAACCAAGUGAAAGUUUCAGAGAAUAUGAUGGAGAGAGCGAACAGCUAGGGUUAAGCCACCCAUGGAUGACCACGAGCUAAUAACUAUCUUCCUUCAAGCUUAAGAGCCAGAUUACUUUCAAAACAUGAUGUCCGCAGUUGGCAAAUCCUUCUCGAAAGCAAUCAAAAUGGGAGAAAUGGUAGAGAAUGGUCUUAAGACAUGAAAUUUUUUAAGUCAAGCAGUUCUUAAAGCCGCAAAUCAAGCUGUCCGGGUUGAAUAUGAUAAUUUUAGUGACAUAAAUGAGAAGGAUGAAGAAAUCUUGAUGACAACAAGGUCGAGAAGAGGUCCUAGGGGAACACCUCGAAGGUAUACGCAACCUCAUCAUGUUUUCCAUGACUCCUCUGAUCAUUACUUUCCACCUCAGAACCCACCAUACUCUGUUGAUCCACCUCAGUAUGUUGAUCAGCCACCAAAUCACCCAAGAAAGCGAGCACGAGUAUCGCAAAAUCUCCACCAGCCUCCACAAAAUUUUCGAGCGCCUUAUAACCCAUAUCCAAGACAGGUGUAUAGAAGGGAACCAAACUUGAAAUAUAAUUUUACACCAAUAGGAGAGUCACAUGGAAGCUUAUUUGAAAAGUUAAAGCAUUAUGGCAUGAUUGCACCUAUUCCUCCAAAUAAUGUGGACCCACUUGCAAGAAGCUUUGACCCUUCUAAAAGGUGUGAAUACCAUUCCGAUGCUCGGGGACACGAUGUUGAAAGUUGUCGGGAUUUGAAAAGAGAAAUAGGGAGAAUGAUCCAGGAAAAGCUUAUUUUGAUUCAAGACCGUGUCACCCAGAAUAUCACGCAGAAUCCUUUAUCUGCACAGGACGACGCAUACUUCAUGGGGAUGAUGCCUGGUGACAUGGAGUAUGAGAAUUCUUUCGGGAACUUGUUGACUGAAAUUGGAUAAGGUCAUGGUGAUUUAUGAUGAGCAAAUUUGUGGCUAAAUGUCAAGCUUAGCAAUUGAAAAGUCAUUCCCUCCUCACUUAGGAAGGAAUCUUGGUUUCUUGUUUUGAUGUUUUUUCUAUUAUCAAGGUUAUUUCAGCGUUGUGAUCCAGAUUUUAUUUGUUUUAUUGAGUCAAACCCUUCUAUCUUUCUAUUCUAUUUGUAUGAGUUAUGUCUAUUCGUUUUGUUGCUAUUUUUAGUAUCCGGGUAUUUUAGGUUUGUAACUCGGAUCUUAGGUUGCUUGUUUAGUCGUCAAGGACUUCCAUCCUUAUUCAAUAAAAUCCAGUUUGUCCUUUUGUGUCAUUUUGUUCUUAGUUCCUUUCGCGCUAGUACUAAUAACAUGACAUGCAUGCGAAAAUUUUGGCAAGAUCUUGGAAACUGAUUUAAUUUGGAAUUGGAUAACUGGAAGAAAAAAAUAACACACUUUUGAGGAUGAAUAAAGAGUCAAAAUACUUGGGAACUAAAGUCGAGUAAAGGUCACUUUCGAAUCAUUGUGAAUAUUGGGCUUGAGAAAGAAUCAAUUGAAGAUUGUUGGAAAGUUUGACGUUAAGGGAUGAAAAGUGUCUAGUGACCACGACACACCAAGAAGACAUGCAUAUUCAUCAAUGUCGUGAUUGUGAAAUGAUACUAUGUUUGGCGUUCUCGAGGUUAGGAGGCCCUUUUUCUGCUACCCAAACACUUUAUACUUUUUUCACCCCUUUGAGCCUGUGUUAUUUUCUUUGACCACCCUCUUUUGGAAUCAAGUUUAGAGUCAAGAGUCGAAAAGUAAUGAAAAACAAAAAAAAACAAAAAAAGAAAAAAAGUCCAUGUCCCAAAAGUAUAAACUGGAGCAGCUUUUAGAAAGUUCUAAGCGAAAAAAAAGAGAACAAAAGAAUUAUCAAAGGUCCAUGCCCUCAAAAAUAGAAGCUAGGUCAUACAAAAAAAAGAGGAAAAAAAAGAAAAAAAAAUGAAAAGAGAAACAGAAAAAAAGAUGAAAAAUAAUUUAGGUUAGAUGUUUGAACUACGUUAGACCUGAUUCCUUUACAAAAACAAAAAGAGGAUACGUAGGCAGCCUCACGGCUCGGUCCAACCAAAUAAGAAUUCAAAAAAAAAAAGAACCGAAACAAAAGAAAAAUCCCAAAAAUUCCCCAAUAGCUGAAACUGGGGUGGACAUUUUUUUUCACUUUUGAAAUAGUGGAUUCCAAGAGUUGUAAGUCUACAACCCCUAAUUUUAAGUCUACUUUGAGCCUUCAUGCCGACCCUUCUUUCCAACCAUAUCCAAGAUCCCCUCAAAUAAAGACCUCCCAGUAUGCCUUCACGAAUGCCAAGAGAAGCAUGCGAUGAGCAAUGGUUGUCAUGUGACAUAGAACACUGUCAAGAUGUUCGCUUAAGAAAAGAGAAAGAAAAAGAAAAUAGAAAUAAAAAUGAGAGAGUCUUACUAUUGAAAACCCUCACGGGCACUGUAAGAUCAUGGUGAGAAGAGAUAAAUAAAUGAGAGAGACUUGUUGGUGAAAACUCCUCGGGGCACCACUGGUCGAAAGUGAGUCAUGAAGCUGAUGCAAAGGAUUGGCACGAACAAACCCGACUUCAAAGGUCAUAACAAUGGGGAAAAUGAAGAUCGGAUUAAUUGGAUAGAUCAGGCCCGUUAAGUCCAAAAUGCAUGUCAUGAUCAUUAAGACUAGUUACUAAAAAAAUAAUCUUCCUUCUGGCCUUAUGACAGGGGGCAUUUUCUUGUCAAUAUUUGUUUCUUUGUGUCAUUGAGUCCUUCACUCCGAAUCUGUCCUCGUCAAAACAAGCAAGAAAAGAUUUCAAAAUCUGCUACUAGCUUUUCAGUUGCACAAAGUAAAUUUGGCGGUUGUUACUGUCAGCAUGCCUUGAGGAUUCAUGCAAGGGCUCCCCCAGAAGACUCUUGUCAGCCUGCUUGGCGCAAGCAAAGAUAACUUGUGAUUCUCUCUGACAGACAAAUUUCCCAAAAAGCAUAAAGUCAUUAAAGAUAUCAGAAAGGUCAUCUGAGCCAAGAUCUCCAAUUGGGGCAGGGUUUAUUGAGCCUCAAAUACAAAUGGUACUGGGUGCGAAACAAUCAGAGUUGGUGCAGAACAAAUGUCUCUUAAGACCGACUCAGGUUGAUCGAGCAAAAGCCAAGCUUCUCAAGACUCAAGGCCAGAAACCGACUACCAUUUUCAAAACUGACAAAUUGUUCUUUGUUUGCAGGAACUAAGCAGCGCAAGGAAAGUGGUUCAAAAAAAAUAAAGAAAGAAAAACAAAAAAAAAAAACGAACAAAAACAACAAAAAAAGAGAAGAAAAAGACAAGAAGAGUAUUUCUCAAAUCUUGGUAUUUAUUUGUCUGCAUGGGCAUAAAAUCUUGCCAUUGAUCUUCACAUUUUUUUCUCAUAGGAUAAAAAGUCCUAGUCUGAUGGAUUUUCCUCCCAAUAAAAAUCUUAGUCUAAUGAAUUUUUCUCCGAAGAUAGAAGACCUUGUGUGAUGAACUUUCUACUAGGAUCAAAAUCUUAGUAUGAUGAAUCUUUCUCCUAAGAUACUAAAAAAAAGACCUAGUCUGAUGAACUUUCUCGUAGGAUCGAAAUCUUACUCUGAUGAAUAUUUCUCCUAAGAUACCUAAAAGUGACCUUGUUUGAUGAAUUUUCUCCUAGGAUCAAAAUCCUAAUCUGAUGAAUUUUCUCCCAGGAUAAACGUCUUAGUCGGAUGAAUCUUUCUGUUAAGAUACCAAAAAAAAAAAAAAAAAAGAGGGGGAACCUAGUCUGAUGAAUUUUCUCCUAGGAUAAAUAUCUUAGUCUGAUGAAUCUUUCUCCUAAGAUAGAAAACCUAGUCUGACAAAUUUUUUCCUAUGAUAAUUCAUAAAAAAUAAUCCAAAAUCAUGGUAGCAUAGGACCUUUUCCCUUUUAUCCAGGCAUAACCCGCGGACCUCCUCGACAUAACCCAAGGAUCAUCUUUCCCUUUUCUCCCCAGCAUAACAUGAGGGUCUUUUCUUUUCCUCCCCAGCAUGACCUGGGGGUCUUUUCUUUUUCCCCUGGCAUAAACCGAAGGUCAUUUUUUUUAUCCCCAGCAUAACCUGAGGGUCUUUUACUUUUCUUCCCCCGCAUAGCCCGAUGAUCAUUUUCUUUCUAUCCCAGUAGACCCCUUUUUCUCCUAUCCCGGCAUAACCCGCUGAUCCCCCUGGCAUAACCGAGGAGCCUUCUUCUCUCGGCAUAACACGUUAACCCCUUGGCAUAACCCAGGAACCUUUUUCAUUUAUUGCAGCAUAACCCGCGGAUCUCCCUGGCAUAACCGAGGAAUCUUUUUUCAUUUCAUCCCGGCAUAACCCGUUGCUUUUUUCUUUCAUCCCCAGUAGGGACCCUUCAUUCCCAUCCCGGCACAACCCGUGGAUCCUCCUCUUACCCCCAACAGGGACCUUUUCUCCUUCACAACAUAACCUGGCAAUCUUUUCAAAGGAUACACAAUCCCGACAUUUAUUGUUUUCAAUAAAGAAAUAGCUUAGAUUUGUUUUGCAAAUAACUCACGAAAUUUUCCCAAUGAAAACUGUGGUAGAAAAUUUUGUUCGUUUUUUUGUUUUGGUGUCCGAGCAGGUUUUACCUCAAGGCACAGGAUUCGAGAUGACCGAAAACAUGAGUCUCAAUCCAGAAUAAAGGAAUAGAAGAAAAGAGCAAAAAGAAGAGAACUUAGAAUGU